CUACUCCGAGCCCUUCUGUAAAGUCCCUCUUACAGAUCUCUUCUAAAAAGUUUCACUUUCAACAAAAUGAUCUUUCCUGAAAGGAACAAAUAUCGCAUUCAAAGACAUCUCCCAAGCUCUGGCAGUAAGGAAGUUAAGAACAGCACACUUUCCCUUUUUUUUAUUGAUACUGUUUGUUGGUGAAAUGGCUUAAUGGCUGCAGGGUCAGUUGACAGAUAGGAGGUAACAUUGUUCUUCUCCUCCAGCGAAUGUAGUGUUUGGCAUGACUUCAAAAUAACCCUAUUGUUUGUCAUCUUCUCAAAAUACACUAUAAAACCCCUGUUAAAAGGGAAGAUAACGUUUUCUAAGCAUAAGUCAAGUGCCGGGUUGCCUUUUUUUAAAGCUGCUUGAUGAGAAUUAAUGGCGUUGGAUCUCCUGUUUUAAACACAUUUGGCCAGGUUUUCUGGAGGCACCUAAUUUAUCUUGAGGCUCUUUCAUCUAUUAUCUAACUGUGAGCUUGUUCAUAGCUCAUCAGCCAUCCUGGUUUUGACAGGGGGCCUUGUGAUGAGCAGCCAACAGCGCGGAGUGUCGGGGCCGGGCGUAUCUCUGGCAGGAAGGUGAUGGGAAAAGCCUAACCUUCUGCCACUCCUCCCAGCACUCACCAAACCCAAAAAUAGAGUCUUGGAUCAUCACACAAAGCCCCUCAGCGUGGUUCCUGCAUCCCAGUGUUAAAGCAGAUCGCUGCCGGAUCAGGUCCAUUUAAUGGGCAAGUGGUACCUUCGGGCAGCUUGGGGUGGUGUUUGGGGAAAUCCCCCCUGUUGAGGGGACACUCUGUGACAGAGAAUUGCUUUGGCCAAGGCAUAGUGUCCAUGGGGCCAUCAGGAAAGAGAAGAAAGCAGCAGAAAUUUGGGAAAAAAAACAAACCCCAAAACCUUAUCUAAUAAGGGUGGGAAAUAAAGAGCUUACGUAAAAGACCAAUUUUUCUACAGUUCCCAAGCAGGAAUAUUCUGGUACAUGAUUCAGGACCAUGGCAGAUGUGUAGAUUUUGGGUGUGAGCUCCCAAACCCAUUCUGGAAGCAGCCAGAGGAGAUUUGCAAAAACGAGGGCCUCGCCUUUCCUUUUUUGUGCUUUCAGCAUCGAUGUACACGAGCGCUCGGAGCGGCGGCUACGGAGCUGCUGGAAAGUUUGUCACCAUAACACUGCCUGUUUAUGCUUUGUGGGGAUGAAAGAACAGCUUUCUUCAAUUAGGCUUUGUACUUCAGCUGGCAGGCGGGUGCCGAUUGUCUCAAACUCCACCUCUCGGCCUGGCCUGGCCCGCGGAGCCAGCGGAGGCCGCGCACGGCAGCGCCCGGCCCUGCCGUGGAUCAGAUCUGCUGGCAAUGGGCAAAGUGGGAGAAAUCCCACUGGGAACAGCAGCCACCUGCACUCAGGUGGAUGGGCUACUCCGAGCUGCUGGGAUUUUCAAAUUGUAGGAUCACAGAAUGGGUUGGAAGGGACCUUUAAAGGCCUUCUCAUCCACAGUGAGCAGUGAGCUUCCACUAGGCCAAGUUCCUCAGGGCCCCAUCCAGCCUGACAUUAAAUGUUUAGUUUCCAACAAUGGGGCAUCCCCCACCUCUCUGUGCCAGGGCCUCACUACCCUCAUUGCAAAAAUUUUCCUCCUUAUACCUGACUCUCCCCUUUUUCAGUUUAAAACCAUUCCCCCUCAUGCUAUCCCUUCUCGAUGCUUUUCCUCUUCAGUCCCUGCUCCGUGCACCUGUGAGGAGCUGGCACUGCACAGAGAACCCAGCUGGUUCCUAACAAAGAGUUCAAUCUCAUUUUAAAGCCCGUGGUGCUGCAGGGCCAGCAGACUCUUUCCAUGGACUCGGGCAAGUUUUGAAUAGGUUGCCUGGAUACCUGGCUAUGGAACACAGCAUGUGUGAGCAGCCGAUGGAUAUCUCUUUAAUAAGAAACAGGGCAUGGGGAGGGAGCUGCCUAUGUACCAGUGUGGAUUUAUAAGGCACUGACUGCUCUGUGUCAGGAGGAUUUGCAGAUUGGGGGAAUUUGGAGGGGGUUUAUGGCUUGCCGGAAGCUGAUAGCAAAGCUGUGGCAAAAAGUCAAAAUGCACCGCCCAUGGCAGCUCUUCACGGGGAAAACUGACUUAUAAAACAGGAGGGAUCACAGAGAAUGCCCAGCUGCCCUACCCCCUGUCAGGGCCAGCCCUGCAGAGACACGGUGUAAACCUGGGCUGUCCCACACCUCAACUUCCUCUGCUGAAGCCAGAACUGAUCGUGGUGGCUUUUUGCAUGUGCCAAACAGAGGUUCACCGAUGGAGAAAGAUGAAUAUGGUUUUUUUGCAUGUGUUCUAUGCUGACACUCUUAGCAGGAUUCUACCGAGGUCUGGGGUAGGAGUUUGGUGGAUGCUGGCAUGCAGGAAAACUACUGUAUGUGUGUUUGCAUUGCAGAAAGUGCAAAUCUGUCCAUUUGAAUCUUUUUUGAGUGAGCACACUGGGCAAACUAGGUGGUUUUGGAAUGACCUCAUCCCAGGAUCCCAGCAGAAAACAGCCCGUGUACAUAGCAGAGUCUGGAAUGUGAGCAGGACCUCAUUCAUAAACUUCCUUACCGUUCCUUUACACUCAAAGACAGGAAUAAAAAGCAGCCAAAACAAGCAGAAAUGGUGUUCCAGACUUAACCAAAUGGGAAAAUAUAUAGAUGCACUUUUAAAUUUUAUUGUUUUAUUGAAUUGAGAUGCUUUUCACCAGCUGCAGGAGGCUUGCCAUGGUGAUACAUUCAUUCUUUCUCUUGGAUCAGACUGGAAGCUUUAUUAAGAUUUUUUCUUUUCUUUGAUCUAAACCUAUUUUUUGGUGACAACACCUCUGUUUUCUACCACCUGCCCUGUUUCUGUGAAAAUACAGAGCUUGAAAAAUGUGUUAGAAGAGGUGUUAUGAAAAGACUGGAACUCAGAGGCCUAAACUCAGUUACAGAAGGUUUUUAAUUAAAGCUGUUAAAUAAUAAGGGGAGAAAACCAAUUAUUUUUCAUACUUUUUAUGAACAAAAGCACCUUAGGUCUCCAUCCUCGUAAGCAGGGAGGCAGUGAGCAGCAGGUAGGAGCACAUGAGGUCAUCCUGCUGUACUGGAGCGAGGAUGAAAUAAAUUCAGGCUGUAAAACGUGGCUGGGAGGCUCCUGCUCUCUCCACUUGGCUCCCUGGUGGCAUUGGCCAGAGGUCACCAAACAAGGCACAGGCAAAUCUGGGCUCCUCAGGCUGAAAUACAGCACUUUUUAGGCAUAUUUGGAGCUUCAGCCAGAUGUGAGCUCCACCAUGCUAAGCAACAUUUUCACUGCUUUUAAGUCCUUUUUGUCAGCUUGGCAGCAAAAAUUGGGCUGGAUGAUUAUUGCAGCCACUGGAAGAAUUUUUCUGUGGUCUAAUAUAAGUGCAACCAAGGAACUCUGGCAUGUGCCUCCAGCAACUUGGAUUUCCAAGUGGUCUUACUUUUCAGUGCUGGACACUCCCAGGAGGAACUGAGUUUCCAAGAGAAGAUGACAGUGGGUGUAUUCAGUCCAACACAGCUGUAGGUACGGUACAAACAUGCAAUUAGAGACAGUUCCUGCCCUGGAGAGCUUGGAGUCUAAAUAGACAAACAGAUCAUCUCCAGAUGGUAGGGGCUGAAGGGUGAGUUGGUGGGAGAGCGAGUGAGUGCGUGGCACUUCUGCUGCUGGAUGCACACAGAUGGUCAAAAGGCAGCGGAGAGAGAAGAGCCUCAGGCCUUGCACAGGCAGCUCGGAUUUCCUGCAAAAAGCCUGCAGGGGUGGGGCUGAUACGUGGCCAUGGCUGUAGGGCUGGAUACUGCAAGGGAUGGGAAGAGCAGGGAGAAGGGAAGAAAGAAGGAAGUCCAUUUAUAGCAGCUUCCUCGGAAAUGCAGGGGGGCUGCCAAUGCGUGUCGAUGCCUGCUGGUGAAGAAUGGAUGUGAUUUAACUUUAUUAGGCACUGGGGAGUUUGCUGUGGAAAGGAGGAUUGAUGGAGAGGGCACGAAUUUUGGCCAAUCUGUAAAUGAAGAGCACAAUGGUGAAGAGCUUUUCCACCUCUCGCCAUUGCCAGCCGGGAGAGGGGGACUCCUGUCCCAAGACCAGGUUACAGAUGGGGUGCUGGAGGAUCACAGGAGCAGAAACCCUCCAAAGAGAACUACAAGCAGCCAUGGCUGGCUCAGAAAAUCCCUGAUCUGCAAAUAUUUGGGAGCUGAAUAGGUUCAGCUAGGUCUAGAGAGAGGUGUUCCCUGCCCAUGGCAGGGAGGGAUGAUCUUUAUGUUCCCUUCCAACCCUUAAUGUUCUGUGGUUCUUCGGGGAGUUUGUACAAAUCUCAUACUCUUCCCCAGGCCUGUAGAGCCUUCUUUGGUCACUUUCAGAUAUAUUUCAGGAUAUUUGAUGGCAUGACCCAAAGGAUUGCUCCUGAAGUUCUGAUCCCCGUCAUUUCCCUGCCUUGGUCACGUCAGCCUCCCUUUGGAGGGAAUGCAGCCCAAGCACAGAAACCACCAGGAAAACAUCUGAGGAUUUAUUUCAUACCACAAGCACUGUAGGUGGCUGUAAGGUUUGGGAGGAUGUAGAUGAGAAGGAUUUGUGGGGAAGUAUUGAACGGUGGCCAGAACAAUAAAGAAUAAGAGGAGAGAGGCACCUCUCCAAGUAGGGCUUCACCAGAGUGGGACAGGGAGCAAAAGCAUCCACCAGCCAUCAAAUGCCACAUGGCUCUGUGCUAAUUCCAGGAGUUCACCACCAAACAUGGGAAAACUCUCAUAUUUAACUUGGCAAGAGGUGAGCUGAUUUAACUGGUAUAGCAGAGAUGUAGUUGUGCAGAAUAAAUCAAUGGGCCACAAAUUACACAGGAAAUUUGGGUCUGGCGUUCAGGGUCGAGGAAGGUGGGAAGAUGAAGGAAUUAAAACCUGAUACCUUUUUAAAUAUUGCUUCAGGGUAGAGAUGACCUUGCUGUAAUUCUUUCAAAUUCCCUAUAAAAAAGGCAGGAAUGCAUGGCAAGCCACCCUUUUCCAACAGAUAUCUGGUGACACAGAGAGCAAAAUCGGUGCAGGCAGGAAGAAAGACAGGGCAGUAAUCACAGUCCUUUGGAUUAAAAGGAAAUUACACUGAGGCAGGAUGAUUUGGAUAUGAUGAACUUAUCUAGGCAAUGACCUGUCCUUCAUAUGGGCUAAAUUUCUAGGGGAAAUAUUAAUUGGAUGAGGGUUCUUACAAGCUGUAAAUGGAGAGAAACCCAUCAAUGGUUUCAUCUGACAAAGUGACUUUCUCAAUUUGUGCCAUGUCAAGGUUCUAUAUGCGCUUGGUUGCCACCAGGAAAGCUUUGGCCUUCUAAAAUGAGAAGAUUUACU